rnacentral:rRNA from 1 species
UACGGAGGGUGCAAGCGUUAUCCGGAUUCACUGGGUUUAAAGGGUGCGUAGGUGGGUUGAUAAGUCAGUGGUGAAAUCCCCGAGCUUAACUUGGGAACUGCCAUUGAUACUAUUGAUCUUGAAUCCGUGGAGGUAGCGGAAUAUGUCAUGUAGCGGUGAAAUGCUUAGAUAAUGACAUAGAACACCAAUUGCGAAGGCAGCUGGCUACGCGAAUAUUGACACUUGAUGCACGAAAAGCGUGGGGGAUCAAACAGG